rnacentral:rRNA from 1 species
AACGAACGCUGGCGGCGCGCCUAAUACAUGCAAGUCGAGCGAGAAGGUGUAGCAAUACACUUGUAAAGCGGCGAACGGGUGAGGAAUACAUGGGUAAUCUACCAUCGAGUGGGGAAUAACCAACCGAAAGGUUGGCUAAUACCGCGUACGCCUCCGGGUCUUCGGGUUCGGAGGGAAAGCUGCACUGUGAGUGUAGCGCUCUUUGAUGAGCUCAUGUCCUAUCAGCUUGUUGGUAGGGUAACGGCCUACCAAGGCUUUGACGGGUAGCUGGUCUGAGAGGACGAUCAGCCACACUGGCACUGCGACACGGGCCAGACUCCUACGGGAGGCAGCAGUAAGGAAUAUUGCGCAAUGGGCGAAAGCCUGACGCAGCGACGCCGCGUGGGGGAUGAAGGUCUUCGGAUUGUAAAGUCCUUUUGUUAGGGAAGAAUAUUUUGACGGUACCUAACGAAUAAGAGGUUGCUAACUCUGUGCCAGCAGCCGCGGUAAAGUCGUCAU